GAUGAACGUUGGCGGCGUGCUUAACACAUGCAAGUCGAACGCUAAUAGCAAUAUUGGAGUGGCGCACGGGUGAGUAACACGUAGCUUACCUACCUUCGAGAGUGGGAUAACGUUCCGAAAGGAAUGCUAAUACCACAUAAGCUCCCGACCUGUAGAGGGUUGAGAGAAAAGGGGAAACCCGCUUGAAGAUGGGGCUGCGGCCCAUCAGCUAGUUGGGGGCCGUAAAAGCGCACCAAGGCGACGACGGGUAGGGGGGCCUGAGAGGGCGAUCCCCCCACACUGGGACUGAGACACGGCCCAGACUCCUACGGGAGGCAGCAGUGAGGAAUAUUGCACAAUGGGCGAAAGCCUGAUGCAGCGACGCCGCGUGGAU
rnacentral:rRNA from 1 species